rnacentral:tRNA from 1 species
CGGGACGUAGCUCAGCUUGGUAGAGCGUUCGCUUUGGGAGCGAAAGGUCGCGUGUUCAAAUCGCGUCGUCCCGA